GCCUACGGGACGCAGCAGUGAGGAAUAUUGGUCAAUGGGCGAGAGCCUGAACCAGCCAAGUCGCGUGAAGGAUGACGGCCCUACGGGUUGUAAACUUCUUUUGUCAGGGAGCAAUUGAGUCCACGUGUGGGCUUAGCGAGAGUACCUGAAGAAAAAGCUCCGGCUAACUACGUGCCAGCAGCCGCGGUAAUACGUAGGGAGCGAGCGUUGUCCGGAUUUACUGGGUGUAAAGGGUGCGCAGGCGGCUCUGCAAGUCAGGCGUGAAAGCUAGGGGCUCAACCCCUAAACUGCGCUUGAAACUGUGG
rnacentral:rRNA from 1 species